AAUUGGGAAAACAUGGAUUUCUGCAAUUUAGAAUUAUUCUAGAGUGAUUUAUGUUUUAUGGGGACUCUUUAAUGUGUAAUUAUAAAAUGGACUGAACAAAUUGAGUAAUGUGUGUAGCUAACGAGUCUGACCAGCUGACAAGCACUUAUGAAAUUUAUGUAGCAUCACUCUCUGACUGGAACUGGUUUGCCACAUCACCCUUUUUUUGCUUGGUAAUAAGUUUUUAAUCUUUAUUUUAGUUGUCAAUAAGCUGUUAUGCUCAGAGGCCACAAUCAGGAUAAAGGCCGCAGAGUGCUAGGCACUGCACAGAUGCACAUAAAGUUUCUGCAUAAUCAUCCAGUUCGAAGAGCCAACACAAGGGUUGGAUCUCCUUUCAUCCCAUGUAAUUUGCUUUGGUUUUUGCCUCCCUUGAAUACUGUCUUUCAUUUUAGUCUUCAUCCUGGGCCUAACAGUUCUUGCAGAAGGCAAGUCACCCAUGGGUAUAUUUUUCUUGUCCAACUGUUCAGUCAGAAACUAAGAAAAGCAUGAGGAUUUUGUGCUCUUUGUUCCGGGUAAGCGUGAAGAGCACUUUUUUGGCAAGGCUGUUCUGCUGGGACUCCCCUGCUGUUCUUUGGAACGGUAUCUUUCUUGGCAAGCAGAUCAGUUCUGUGUGUUUUCAACUGUUGUCUAAUUUCCUUACCCAUCCUGUGCAUGUGUAUAUGGGAGAGAGGAAAAAAUCUGUGUGAAAAUGGCACACUUCAUUGUGUGGCAUAAAGGUUUUGUGGGCAUGAGUUCAGAAUGGCUGUAUGACUCAUAAGUGGGAAGACUUCAACUCAAUUAUGCAGAUUAUCUCAGCCAACAAAAUCUUUAUUCUGCAGCAAACCAGCAGGUAGGUAUUCUUUAUGUAACCAUGUAAGUGACAGAAAAUGAUGCUAGAAAUAUUUAGAUAGUUUAAGCAUUUUUCAUAGUAUUCCCUAUUCUUCUACCUGUGAAGUCAAUCUGAUUUCCUUACUACAUAUCCAAGUGAACAGGAUGGGAAGAGUAAAAUUAUAACCAAAGUAUAUGUGAGGUGAGGCCACUAAUAAUUUUCAUGUGUAGAAAUAUUGUGACUUUUAU
rnacentral:lncRNA from 1 species